rnacentral:rRNA from 1 species
UACGUAGGCAGCAAGCGUUGUUCGGAAUUACUGGGCGUAAAGGGCGCGUAGGUGGCCUUCUAAGUUGAACGUGAAAUCCCUGGGCUCAACCCAGGAACUGCGUCCAAGACUGGGAGGCUUGAAUCCGGGAGAGGGAUGCGGAAUUCCAGGUGUAGCGGUGAAAUGCGUAGAUAUCAGGAGGAACACCGGUGGUGUAGACGGCUCUCUGGACCGCAACUGACGCUGAGACACGAAAGCGUGGGUAGCAAACAGG